GGGCGAGGCUUGUGGGGGUGAGAAGAGGAGAUUCCACGUCUCCCCAGUGCUGCGUCCUGAUAGGACCCCCAGGGCCUUCCGAGCCCUCUCCCAGCGACCCCCUCGUGUCCCGGAGUUGCAGCAAGAGAUGUGAGAAGGUGUCACCCUGAAGAGGAAGUGGUGGACCAGCCCUGCCUGAUGUGGACAGCAGGGGACACAUGUCUGCCUGUCUGUCUAUCUGAAAUGGGGGAAAAAAUGCUGAAAGCCAAAGGAGGGCUUAAUGUGGCCUUUUCCACCUUCUAAUUCCAUAGAACCUCAGCUCUGGGACUUGCUUCCUGACCUAGGGUGCAGGGGCCAAAUUUGU
rnacentral:lncRNA from 1 species